rnacentral:tRNA from 1 species
CGAACCCUGGGAGGGGUUUUUUACCCCUCAACCGAUUAGCAAUCGGUUGCCUUCGACCACUCGGCCAUCUCUCCUUCGGAGGGUGAGGGAUUCGA